rnacentral:rRNA from 1 species
GACGAACGCUGGCGGCGUGCUUAACACAUGCAAGUCGAACGGAAAGGCCCUGCUUUUGUGGGGUGCUCGAUUGGCGAACGGGUGAGUAACACGUGAGUAACCUGCCCUUGACUUUGGGAUAACUUCAGGAAACUGGGGCUCAUACCGGUUCGGAGCUCCUGCUGCAUGGUGGGUGUUGGAAAGUUUCGGCGGUUGGGGAUGGACUCGCGGCUUAUCAGCUUGUUGGUGGAGUAGUGGCUUACCAAGGCAUUGACGGGUAGCCGGCCUGGGAGGGUGACCGGCCACAUUGGGACUGAGAUACGGCCCAGACUCGUACGGGAGGCAGCAGUGGGGAAUAUUGCACAAUGGGCGGAAGCCUGAUGCAGCAACGCCGCGUGAGGGAUGACGGCCUUCGGGUUGUAAACCGCUGUCGCCUGUGACGAAGCGUGAGUGACGGUAAUGGGUAAAGAAGCACCGGCUAACUACGUG